GGAUGUUGGCUUGGAAGCAGCCAUUCAUUUAAAGAGUGCGUAACAGCUCACUAGUCGAGCGGACGAGCAUGGAUAAUAAUCGGGCAUAAGUAUACUACCGAAGCUAUGGAUUUACGUUUAUACGUAAGUGGUAGGGGAGCAUUCUAAGGGGGUUGAAGGUGAUAUGUGAGUAUUGCUGGACCGCUUAGAAAAGAAAAUGUAGGCAUAAGUAACGAUAAUGCGGGCGAGAAACCCGCACACCGAAAGACUAAGGUUUCCUCAGCUAUGCUAAUCAGCUGAGGGUUAGUCGGGACCUAAGGCGAACCCGAAAGGGACAGUCGAUGGCCAACGGGUUAAUAUUCCCGUACUUCUUAUAAUUGUGAUGGAGCGACGGAGUGAUGAAAGCGCCGCGAACUGACGGAAUAGUUCGUUAAAGUACCUAGCUAUAGGGAUUGUAGUUAAAUGCGCAGUCUCUGGUGAAAUACGAUAGUACACGGAGUCUUCGGACAAAGUGAUAGUGCGCCUAAGGGCUUCCAAGAAAAACUUCUAAACUUAGAUUAUAAGAACCCGUACCGUAAACCGACACAGGUAGUCGAGGAGAGAAUCCUAAGGUGCUCGAGAGAUUCAUGGCUAAGGAAUUAGGCAAAAUAGACCUGUAACUUCGGGAGAAAGGUCGCCAGCAGCAAUGCUGGCCGCAGUGAAAAGAUCCAGGCGACUGUUUAUCAAAAACACAGGGCUCUGCAAAAUCGUAAGAUGAAGUAUAGGGCCUGACACCUGCCCGGUGCUGGAAGGUUAAGAGGAGAUGUUAUCUUCGGAGAAGCAUUGAAUUGAAGCCCCAGUAAACGGCGGCCGUAACUAUAACGGUCCUAAGGUAGCGAAAUUCCUUGUCGGGUAAGUUCCGACCUGCACGAUGGACACUGUCUCAACUGUGAGCUCGGUGAAAUUGUAGUAUCGGUGAAGAUGCCGAUUACCCGCGAUGGGACGAAAAGACCCCGUGAACCUUUACUAUAGCUUUACAUUGAAUUUGGGCACUUGAUGUGUAGGAUAGGCCGGAGACUAUGAAGUGGGUACGCUAGUAUUCGUGGAGUCAUCCUUGAAAUACGGCCCUUUAAUUGUUUGAAUUCUAACUCGUAGAUACGAGGACAUUGUAUGGUGGGUAGUUUGACUGGGGUGGUCGCCUCCAAAAGAGUAACGGAGGCUUCUAAAGGUGCGCUCAGAACGAUUGGUAACCGUUCGUAGAGUGUAAUGGUAUAAGCGCGCUUGACUGUGAGACAUACAAGUCGAACAGGUAGGAAACUAGAGCAUAGUGAUCCGGUGUUUUCAGUAUGGAAUGGACAUCGCUCAAAGGAUAAAAGGUACUCCGGGGAUAACAGGCUGAUCAUUCCCAAGAGCUCAUAUCGACGGAAUGGUUUGGCACCUCGAUGUCGGCUCGUCACAUCCUGGGGCUGGAGAAGGUCCCAAGGGUUGGGCUGUUCGCCCAUUAAAGUGGCACGCGA
rnacentral:rRNA from 1 species